rnacentral:lncRNA from 1 species
CGAGGAAAUGGUUUUUCCGGCCGCCGCCGUUGCCGAAGCGUUUGUCGUUGUAGACCUCGAUGUCGAGCUCGUCGUAGUCCAUGUUCUGAGGGUCGUUGACGGCGAAAUCGAGCAUCUCGUUCCAGAUAGGGUUCAGGUCGCGGAACUUGGUGGAGGUUCGUUUCUUCUGGGCGUCGAAAUCGACGACGACGUAGGCGCUUGAGCUUCCUUGGCCGUCUUUCGGGAGGAGGUUGCGGGCUUCGACUACUUCGACGACGAGUUUGCGCUGCAUCCUCGAUGGGGGAGGAUCUGACUGAAACGGCGUCGUGUUCAUCGUGGAAAGAGAGAGAGAGAGGGAUAGCGUUUCGAACCUUUGUCACAGAGACAGACGGUAAUCGCGGAAGAGAGAGAGAGAGAGAGAGAGAGAGAGAGAGAAAGUGUGUUUUUUCGAGGCUAUACUUUAUUUAUUUGAAUAUGUUCUUCUUUCUUUAAAGCCAUUUCUUCUUGUAAUGUUGCUUGUUUUGUAUAAGUAAUUUUAGUUUCUGUUAAUACCAAAUCUUAAAAUUAAGCACUUAGCAUAAAUCGCAUAACUCUGUACGGUCGAAACAACAAAUUUUAUGGAUUUUUUUGCUGUUUGAAAUAGUGCUAACUAAACUUGUGAACUAGUAGUAGUUGAUGUGUUUUACAAAUGUAUAAGGAAAUUACCUCUAGUGUGUUUUUUAUCAUCUAAGUUACUUCCAGUGUUUAAAGACCCAAAUAAUUCAAUGAAUCUCGCCAACUUUUGUAAGUUUGACAAACUGAAAUUUAACCUAAAGAGAGUAUGUAAAAGCAUCAUUAUUAAUAAAAACUAAUGUAAAUAUUUUCUAUAAUAGUAAUAUUUUAAUAUAAUUUAAUUGUGUAAUUCUACUUAAAAUCAUUAAAAUAUUAAAACUAUUUAAGAAAACUAUAAUAUGUUCAAGAGUUUUCACUUUUCAUGUUUUUUUUAGUUUUCAUUUUAAGAAAAUCAUCUCAUUUUAUAUCUAAUAUUUUUGAAUGAUAAAAACUCAUUUCAUGUUAUAGCUAAGAAAACUGGAGUAAGUUAAAAAAAAUAUAUAUAUUUUGAUUUGAAUUGCUUGGUUGAAUUGAUAAGAAUAUUAUAUACAAAUAAACCUAAUUAUGGUGAAAGGCAUAAAGGGCGAAAGAAUAUUUUGCGUUAGAUAAUGGGGAAAUCUGAUUCCAUUCUCUAUCGCCAAGCCUUCGUUUUAUUCUUCCCUUUUUACGUGUUCUCUGAUUUUAUUAUUGUACUCUCUCAUUUUUUUAUUUUAUUUUUUAGUUCAUUCUUCAUUAGUUUUAUUAAAGUCACCAUUACAAUAUUACCUGAAAAGAUUUGGCAACCAAGUCUGUUGGAUGGAAUUUUUGUUGUUUUUAAACACACAAGUUUCUUAAUCUACUAAAAGGCAAAUUAUCUCAAAGAUUAUUAAUGUUUUUCCUUUUUAAGUUCGGUAUGUUUUAUAAAAAUGCCACUUACCAUUUGAGUAUUGGACUCGACUAAGAGCAUCUUCAACCCCACUCUAUUUUUCACUCUAAAAUAGAGUUUAGAGUAAAGAAUGCUCCAAUGGUACUCUAUUUUUCACUCUAUAAUAGAGUAAAAAAUAGGUUUACUCCAAAUAUAGAGUAAUUUGAUUUUUUUUGUUCAUCACUCUAUUUUUUACUCUAAAAUAGAGUACCAUUGGAGUAAACUCAAACUCUAUUAUAGAGUUACUCUAUUUUAGAGUAAAAAAUAGAGUUAGCCAUCGGAGAUGGUCUAACGAAAUCCAUACCAUCAUUUAAGGCCCAAACUUCCGCCCGGUUUUGUUUUAUUUGGUAAAAUCAAGGUCAUUGCUAUAGAUUGUUCUUUUCAUUUUAAGUCAGAAAAAAUGAUCAAUACUUGUGAGUUGUGACUUGAGAGGAUCAAUAAAUGUUAUGGGACUUUCACAUAAUUACUAUGCAGUGGGUUCUUAUUUUAUGAAGGAAAAACCAAGAAAAUCUUGUUUUUAUUGCAUUAUAUGAUAUGAAAUAUUAUGAAUACUACCAUUUAAUGUGAGGAGUGAAGUGGGUAGGGACCAUUAUGAUCCUUGAUUUUGUAUCCCACACACUAUACGAUAAAGAAUUUUGUUCCCUCGUGCUCUCGUCAUUGCCAUAACCUUUGUUUAUUUCCAGACCACCUUUUCUGUGUGUUUGUUGUGAAUAUCCCGGUUUGGUUAUAAUCACAACCAUAAUCGGUUAGUUAAAUGUAUCGACCCGGUUUUCCUGUGGACAAACACAAAAGUUACAAAUUAGUCAAAUAGGGCAUGAAAAGAAAUGAAUGAAUAUUAUACUUUUCCAAACAGUAUAGCACAUCAAGUACUCCGAUCGGUGGUUUCCAUAGCUGCUUAGCCGUGGGACGGAAGUCGCUACACACGUGCGCCGCCUCUUCAAGCACGUGAUACCCACCUUCAAGACACAGUCUUAAGCUUAUCCUUCCACAGUAAGGUCCUCCACCACCACCACCUCCUCCUCCUCCACCUUCUCCUUCCAAAGCAUGCCAUUUAGACGGCACGAAACGCUCAUCGAUUCUCUGCUCAAUGGAGCUCACUGGGAUCAUCGCGUGCCCUAGAACCAUUGGCUCUUUACUCGUCCUAUCUUCAACCAUCAGCAUCAAGCAGUCUUCUAACGGCUCUCCAGCGACAAAGAUCAUAUCUUCAUGCCAAUGAAACGAGCCGCUGUGAUUAUUCAUCGAGCCACGUCUUGUCCUCGCCGACUGAAACCCUAACUGAGCUUUCACACGGACCUCAGGCGCCGUCAACGGCGGAAGAUUCGGAGCAAUGUGGAGAUCCUGCGCCUCGAGAACCGUCACUCUCAAGUACCAAAGCUUCGGCGACUGGUACACCUUGGAGCGAGUGUGCGCCACGUGUGGAGCGUCGGAGCUCCACGCCUCCGGGAAAGCCUCGUCUACCUGAGUGCCGAUCCAUACAGAGAGCUGAAUAUCGCCGGAGACUCUCCCGGAGUUUUGAUCGGCCGCGGAGCCUUCGAGGCGGUACCACUGAGGAGCAAGCGGACUAUCCGGCGGGUCGCGAACCGGAACCUCGGAGAGAUCGAAACACACGCCGCCGAGGAAACUCUCCGAGGAAGCGUCCCACGCGGAGAUUUCAAGAGUCGCGCCGGACGCGGCUGAGUCCGUUCGGUUAUGUCCCAGCGCGAAAACCUGAUUCCACUCGGGUGAAUCCGUCGGUUCGCCAGGCCGGUUAACAGCCGGUUUAGACCUGACGAAAUGGUUAGACGUACGUACUUUAACGUACGCGCUCUCGUUCGGCGGGAGUCCACGCGCCUUCACGAUCCUGACGAAGAGAUACUGCAUUGGCUCAACGAGGUUGUAAGGGUUAUGAGUAGUCUUCUUCUCCAUCGGAGUCUCCGAGGCUCCUCCGAUCUUGCUGUUGAUUACCCUAGGCGAGAAAUCUCCGUUAGGUCGCUUCGCGGCGGCGACUCUGACUCUGUCUCCGCCGGGAGGUCUCCCCACCUGCAUCUUCCUCACCUCCGGCGGAUAACGGUGCACCUCGUGAGGCGGAGACGGCGGACGCGGAGGAUGGUUAUCGUUAGGACCUUGCAUUACCUCCUGCGGCGGAGAUUCCUCGACGAUAACCACCGGCGGUUGCUGAGGCUCUUGAUAGCUAUGACUCUGAGCCGAGUCGAAAGACGGUUUCUCCGGAGGUAGAUUCUGCAUCUGCUGCGGCGGAGGAGGAAUAUACUGUUCAUCAGCUUCUUGCGGUUGCGGUUGCGGCGGUUGUUGUUGUUGGUGGCUGUCGAUGUUUUCGUCGGCGGCUUCGUCGUAGUAAUAAAUCUUGAGGCCAAUCUCGCCGCGAAUCCAGCUGAAGACGCUCUUCUUCUCCAAAGGGAAGUAGACGAGGCCUUCGUCGCCGCGUCUAGAGAACUGGCUUCCGUAGAUCUUGACCCUACCGAGGAAAUGGUUUUUCCGGCCGCCGCCGUUGCCGAAGCGUUUGUCGUUGUAGACCUCGAUGUCGAGCUCGUCGUAGUCCAUGUUCUGAGGGUCGUUGACGGCGAAAUCGAGCAUCUCGUUCCAGAUAGGGUUCAGGUCGCGGAACUUGGUGGAGGUUCGUUUCUUCUGGGCGUCGAAAUCGACGACGACGUAGGCGCUUGAGCUUCCUUGGCCGUCUUUCGGGAGGAGGUUGCGGGCUUCGACUACUUCGACGACGAGUUUGCGCUGCAUCCUCGAUGGGGGAGGAUCUGACUGAAACGGCGUCGUGUUCAUCGUGGAAAGAGAGAGAGAGAGGGAUAGCGUUUCGAACCUUUGUCACAGAGACAGACGGUAAUCGCGG